rnacentral:rRNA from 1 species
UACGAAGGGAGCUAGCGUUGUUCGGAAUCACUGGGCGUAAAGCGCACGUAGGCGGAUUUGUCAGUCAGGGGUGAAAUCCCGGGGCUCAACCUCGGAACUGCCUUUGAUACAGCAAGUCUUGAGUUCGAGAGAGGUGGGUGGAAUUCCUAGUGUAGAGGUGAAAUUCGUAGAUAUUAGGAAGAACACCGGUGGCGAAGGCGGCUACCUGGACCAGCACUGACACUGAGGCACGAAAGCGUGGGGAGCAAACAGG